UUUAAUUGAAGAGUUUGAUCAUGGCUCAGAUUGAACGCUGGCGGCAGGCUUAACACAUGCAAGUCGAGCGGUAGCACA
rnacentral:rRNA from 1 species